GAUGAACGCUGGCGGCGUGCCUAAUACAUGCAAGUCGAGCGAACAGACGAGGAGCUUGCUCCUCUGACGUUAGCGGCGGACGGGUGAGUAACACGUGGAUAACCUACCUAUAAGACUGGGAUAACUUCGGGAAACCGAAGCUAAUACCGGAUAAUAUAUUGAACCGCAUGGUUCAAUAGUGAAAGACGGUUUUGCUGUCACUUAUAGAUGGAUCCGCGCCGCAUUAGCUAGUUGGUAAGGUAACGGCUUACCAAGGCGACGAUGCGUAGCCGACCUGAGAGGGUGAUCGGCCACACUGGAACUGAGACACGGUCCAGACUCCUACGGGAGGCAGCAGUAGGGAAUCUUCCGCAAUGGGCGAAAGCCUGACGGAGCAACGCCGCGUGAGUGAUGAAGGUCUUCGGAUCGUAAAACUCUGUUAUUAGGGAAGAACAAAUGUGAAAGUAACUAUGCACGUCUUGACGGUACCUAAUCAGAAAGCCACGGCUAACUACGUG
rnacentral:rRNA from 1 species